rnacentral:rRNA from 1 species
AUACGUAGGUGACAAGCGUUAUCCGGAUUUACUGGGCGUAAAGGGCGUGUAGGCGGUCUUGCAAGUCAGAAGUGAAAUUCCUGAGCUCAACUCGGGCGCUGCUUCUGAAACUGCAGGACUUGAGUGCUGGAGGGGAUAGCGGAAUUCCUAGUGGAGCGGUAAAAUGCGCAGAUAUUAGGAAGAACACCGGAGGCGAAGGCGGCUAUCUGGACAGUAACUGGCGCUGAGGCGCGAAAUCGUUGGGAGAAAACAGGAUUAUAUACCCUGGUAUUCCACGCUGUAAACGAUGAAUACUAGGUGUAGGGGGUAUCGACUCCCUCUGUGCCGCAGUUAACACAAUAAGUAUUCCGCCUGGGGAGUACGGCCGCAAGGUUGAAACUCAAAUGAAUUGACGGGG